rnacentral:misc_RNA from 1 species
UAUACUAAUUUAGAUCAAAGAUAUGCCCAAUCUUGUUUUAACACUUUAAAUUAAAACAAGAAUUGAGUUUUUGUGAAUAUUAAUUAUAAUGAAAAUUAAUAUAUUUAGAAGUUUUUAUUAGAAACAGGUUUUAAUUUCUUUUGAUAUUAGUUCAAACUUUUAAUAAAUUAGAUUUUUAAGUUUAGGCAUUUCAACUUGUGUGUCGUAGCAUCUACUUUUAUUAUUAAUGUUUAUUUCUCGGAUUGUUAGUCCGGUCGUAUUGUGUUUCGAGCCAAUUUUUGGGUAGAAUAACACAUAUUUUAACUGGCCAAACAAGAUAAUAGCUUAGCGUCGCCUUUCUUAGCCCAUUUAAUUUCUCCUACUACGCCUGGAUCAGUUACAAUUACGAGAGUGAACGCAAAUCCAAAGAUUGACUGCCAACAACAUGAAUUUUCCUCUUUUUCACCUCAAGUCAUGCUGCUAUUGUGUUAGUUUAAAAAUCGGGUGUUAUACGAUCUGUUCAUUAUACCUGCUUUUAAGCUUGAUGGUUUUUAUAACCGAACUUCAAUCCGCUGAGUAUUUUUUCUCGCACAAUUUGAGAACUAAACAUCUCGCUGUACUGUUUGUAUAUGAUACAAAACCUCCUAUCGUAUUUGUAUUUUCUAUAUUUUUCAUCUAUGGUCUAUACAAGGAAAACAAAUUAUUCGCACAUAGUGGGAUUGCUCUUAUAUACCUAUUUGUGAUGUCACGCCUUAUGUCUUUUCUACAAACUCUGAUCAGACAUAAUUUUCAAUCAAGAAUCCUAAUAACAUUCUUAAUUGCUGAAGCUUUUCACAUGUUGUGCCUUAUGCUAGUUAAGAGUUAUCACAAUGAGCUUUCUUUAAAAAUACACAAGCCUGAUGUUAUAUUAGAAGACACUACAAAUUCGAUAGAGUCUGAAAACCCAGAACCGUCCAGUUAAAUAUUGUCCUUUCUUAAGAAUUGAGUUCCUCUUAAUGAUAUUGUUUUUCAUAUUCUCCUGCAAUUAUAUAUUUUAGUAUUUUGUAUAUUAUUUUGUACUCAAUAAAAGUUCUUAGUUGACAUUCAACAAGGAAUUAAUUGUUUAUUUCAUGAACAAAAAUAAGUACUUAUUAAUUUAUAAUACAAACUAUGUAAAAAUGAAUAAUAUUUAAUUUUUAAAAAGUUUAGACAUGUUGGACAUAUUUAUUUCACUUUCUUAAAAUAUUGGUGGCCACAACGGUUAAGGCACAAUGACUUGUCACUGCAAGGGUUGCAAGUUUGAAUCCCAGGAUUACUGAGUUUAAGCAUAUUAUGCCAAAAAAAUUUAUAAUUGUUCAAAAUUAUAGUUUAAUUUAUUAUUUAUUACGCUUUUCAUAUAGGAGAUCCUUGAAAUAUUUUAUCACCCGUUCCAAUAAUCCUUGAGAAAAAUCAACCUUGAAAAUUAAUGUUUUGCUCAUUUUACUGUAAAUAGUCUCAGCUGAUGUUCUUCAGUAUCAUGGAAUUUCUCAGGAAGCCGAAAACGUUUUGCUGCUGUAUGAGUUUACACACUGGCUGCUAUGUCGGCGCAGCGUUAUACCUUAUUUCAGGAAUUCUUAUGUCUGUAGGGGAAAUUAUCAGUGGGUCGCCCAUUCUCAAGAAUAGUCAUCAUAAAUAUAUAAUAAAAGAGGCUUUCACUUAUGAUUUAUGUCCAUCCCUUGGCAUUGUCUUCCCAAGUUGUCUAAUAGCUGGGUUGGUUAAGAAUAAUUCACUAUUAGUUUAUAGCAACGCAUGCAUGAUGGGCGCUAUGCUGGCCAAUAACUGUUUCAUGAUACUUUUGAAUGUAUUGCAGCUUGGACAUUUCUCUAUUAACUACAGCAUAUUCAUAGAUAAUAUUAUUUUUUCAGCCAUUCAUGCAUACUUCAUGAUCAUCAUCGUUGCUGAGAGUGAAGAAAUUGUUCUAAAGAACAAACAAAACGUUGCCAUCCUUAACGAAGAAAUAAACCCAUGUAACAAUGAAGGAUAAAAAAUAUUUUGAACAGAGAUUUGUGAUCAUAAUUAUGCAUCUAAUGUUUGUUUGAUUGUUUCUGUGUUAGGAUAGAAUUAUAAUGAAAUAAACAUAGUAAUGUUAAGUCAAAUAUCUGUAAUAUUAUCAUUGUAAAUAUUAUUUGAAAAAUAUUAAUGUAUAAUAAUAAUUAUAGGUGUCAAAAUAAAAUCUUACAAUUAGAAUUUUUUUGAACCGUAGACCAAAACUUGCAUAUGUGUUCAGCAUUUAGAGAAAGGUUGCUAGAAUUAUCCCUCUGAAGGGAGCAAUUACUUGGCUCUAUAUAGAGAGCGUGUAGGUAUGCCACCCAACAUGAAAAUUGUGUUUGAGCAGGGCAGAGAGUAUUUGGGUCCCUUGUUUGAUUUUUCAGAGAAAACGGCGUUGUUUGAUUACAUAUAAUACUGACGGUUAUAUGUUUUGUAACUUUCUGCGGUUCCAAUCUUCAUGAUCAGUGCUGUACGAUCUGGUUUACAUUAAAAUUUAAACAUAGACCUAAUAAAAACACAGAUAUGUUUGUAUGAUUUGGAAAAUACAGUGUUCUUAAAAUCUAAAUGUCACAGUUGACAUAACAAAGUUUUGCAUAUGUAAAUUUAAAAAAUUAUAACAAUAUUUUCAAAAAUGAGAAGCUUAUCUCAAAGGAUAAGCUAAUCCCCAACCGCAGACUCGGGCAGUGCGAGCUGAGCCACCAAAGGAUGAGGAAGGACUCUCUCAAUUUGUUUGAAGACACCUGCUCUUUUUAUGUAAAUGGCAAGGAGUUAGUUGCGACAAUAUCUCUAGAUAAUCUAAAGUGUAUAAUUUAUACAUCAAUACAGUAAAAAUAUAUUCGAGAAAGGCUCAAAAUCCCAGAUGAUAUUUUAUCUAAUCUUCUCCGCCUGGAUCUGUUAUAAUUAUCAUUCUUAAAAAAAAAGGGACCGGCGCUGAAAUGGAUUGUUCACUUUUUCUACAGAAGUCAUAUCGCUACUUGCAUUUAAAAACAUGCUGCUAUUUUAUUGCUUUUUUAUAUCUGUCUUUAGGAGUUCUUCUUUUUUGCGAAGAGCUUUAUUUGUCUGAGCGACAUUUCUCAAACAGCUUGGCCAACAAGGAACUUGCUGUACUGUUUGCAUAUGACGUUAAACCUACUAUUACAAUUGUAUUUUCUAUAUUGUUCAUUCAGGGUAUUUACAAGGAACACCUAUUAUUUGUGUUUAGCGGAGUUUCUCUUUUGUGCUUUCUUUUUAGUUUAUUUGUACUGAUAAUCGUGUAUUCAUUAAUCAGAAAUUAUUUCUCUGGUAUUCGGUACAUAUCCUUACUGUUAACCUCAUUAGGUUCGGCAUUCUUGAGUCUGAUUGUAAUGAAGAGUUAUUACAAUGAGUUGUUUUUAAAAAAGAGCAAGACAAGUCAUACAUUGGAAGAACAUCAAAUUGAAACGUCUGAAUUUGAAAACACACAAUAGUUUAGUUGAAUAAUUUUCUCCAUCGAAUAAUUUAUUUAAAUCACUAUUAUUGUUUUGAAUAAACACUGUUUUAUAUUUUACAUUUAUUCAUUCUA